rnacentral:rRNA from 1 species
GGACGAACGCUGGCGGCGUGCCUAACACAUGCAAGUCGAGCGAGGAGAUUCCUUCGGGAUGAUCCUAGCGGCGGACGGGUGAGUAACACGUGGGCAACCUGCCUCAUAGAGAGGAAUAGCCUUCCGAAAGGGAGAUUAAUACCUCAUAACAUUGCAGUUUCGCAUGGAACAGCAAUUAAAGGAGUAAUCCGCUAUGAGAUGGGCCCGCGGCGCAUUAGCUAGUUGGUGAGGUAACGGCUCACCAAGGCGACGAUGCGUAGCCGACCUGAGAGGGUGAUCGGCCACAUUGGGACUGAGACACGGCCCAGACUCCUACGGGAGGCAGCAGUGGGGAAUAUUGCACAAUGGGGGAAACCCUGAUGCAGCCAACGCCGCGUGAGUGAUGACGGCCUUCGGGUUGUAAAGCUCUGUCUUCAGGGACGAUAAUGACGGUACCUGAGGAGGAAGCCACGGCUAACUACGUGCCAGCAGCAGC